ACGAACGCUGGCGGCGUGCUUAACACAUGCAAGUCGAACGAGAAUCUGAUGAAGGAGUUUUCGGACAACUGAUUCAGAGGAAAGUGGCGGACGGGUGAGUAACGCGUGAGGAACCUGCCUUGAAGAGGGGGACAACAGUUGGAAACGACUGCUAAUACCGCAUGAUGCAUAGGGGUCGCAUGAUCUUUAUGCCAAAGAUUUAUCGCUUCAAGAUGGCCUCGCGUCUGAUUAGCUAGUUGGCGGGGUAACGGCCCACCAAGGCGACGAUCAGUAGCCGGACUGAGAGGUUGAACGGCCACAUUGGGACUGAGAUACGGCCCAGACUCCUACGGGAGGCAGCAGUGGGGAAUAUUGGGCAAUGGGCGCAAGCCUGACCCAGCAACGCCGCGUGAAGGAAGAAGGCUUUCGGGUUGUAAACUUCUUUUAAGAGGGAAGAGCAAAAGACGGUACCUCUAGAAUAAGCCACGGCUAACUACGUGCCAGCAGCCGCGGUAAUACGUAGGUGGCAAGCGUUGUCCGGAUUUACUGGGUGUAAAGGGCGUGCAGCCGGGUCUGCAAGUCAGAUGUGAAAUCCAUGGGCUCAACCCAUGAACUGCAUUUGAAACUGUAGAUCUUGAGUGUCGGAGGGGCAAUCGGAAUUCCUAGUGUAGCGGUGAAAUGCGUAGAUAUUAGGAGGAACACCAGUGGCGAAGGCGGAUUGCUGGACGAUAACUGACGGUGAGGCGCGAAAGUGUGGGGAGCAAACAGGAUUAGAUACCCUGGUAGUCCACACUGUAAACGAUGAAUACUAGGUGUGCGGGGACUGACCCCCUGCGUGCCGCAGUAAACACAAUAAGUAUUCCACCUGGGGAGUACGAUCGCAAGGUUGAAACUCAAAGGAAUUGACGGGGGCCCGCACAAGCGGUGGAGUAUGUGGUUUAAUUCGAAGCAACGCGAAGAACCUUACCAGGCCUUGACAUCCCUUGCAGAGGUAUAGAGAUAUAUCUGAGGUUACCAAGGAGACAGGUGGUGCAUGGUUGUCGUCAGCUCGUGUCGUGAGAUGUUGGGUUAAGUCCCGCAACGAGCGCAACCCUUGUGAUAUGUUACUAACAUUGAGUUGAGGACUCAUAUCAGACUGCCGGUGAUAAACCGGAGGAAGGUGGGGAUGACGUCAAAUCAUCAUGCCCCUUAUGGCCUGGGCUACACACGUACUACAAUGGCGUCUACAAAGAGCGGCAAGCCUGUGAAGGCAAGCGAAUCUCAUAAAGGGCGUCUCAGUUCGGAUUGAAGUCUGCAACCCGACUUCAUGAAGCUGGAAUCGCUAGUAAUCGCGAAUCAGCAUGUCGCGGUGAAUACGUUCUCGGGCCUUGUACACACCGCCCGUCACACCAUGAGAGUCGGGAACACCCGAAGUCCGUAGCCUAACCUGAAAAGGAGGGCGCGGCCGAAGGUGGGUUCGAUAAUUGGGGUG
rnacentral:rRNA from 1 species